GUGACCGGCUCCGUGGCGCUGCUCCCAGAAGUUGCUGGGGCCGACGUGUACACAGCGGCCGAGUUGGAUCAGCUGUGCGCUCAGGCCAUUAAAUAUUGACUGCAUGUGAAUGACCCAUCAACAAAGAGGAUAGACAGAUGACUUCUAGCUUCCGUUCCAUCCAAUCCAAGUUGAAUAGAAGUCCUCUCAAGUGGUCGGACAACAAGGGUUCCCGUUCACUCUUUGUACUUGUGCCUUUAUACCCGUUCAACAACCCAACUGUCUCCGAACAAAACGGCAAAAAGGAAGUAAAGAACCUGAGAGUCAAGUUUGCAGAACAGGCAGUAGAGCAAAGCUGGAUUUACCCACCAAUGGAUCAAAGGCUGAAGAAUUGUGACACAGAGCACAGUUAUUAAGCAAGCCUCAAUAAAUACCAUUUUAAGAGAAGCUUCCAGUGGACAUUUCUGGGUACAUGUCCUGGCAGAGAAUGAUGACUAUGA